rnacentral:rRNA from 1 species
UACAGAAGGGGGCAAGCGUUAUUCGGAAUUAUUGGGCGUAAAGGGCGCGUUAGGUCGGGCGCUGUAAGUCACUUGUGAAAUCAUCUGAGGCUUAACUCAGAACGGCCAAGUGAUACUGCAGGUGCUAGAGUGCAGAAGGGGCAUCGGAAUUCCAGGUGUAGCGGUGAAAUGCGUAGAUAUCUGGAGGAACACCGGUGGCGAAGGCGGCAUCCUGGACCGACACUGACACUGAGGAGCGAAAGCCAGGGAGCAAACGGG